rnacentral:rRNA from 1 species
CGUAGGGUGCGAGCGUUAAUCGGAAUUACUGGGCGUAAAGCGUGCGCAGGCGGUUUUUUAAGACAGGCGUGAAAUCCCCGGGCUUAACCUGGGAACUGCGUUUGUGACUGGAAGGCUAGAGUAUGGCAGAGGGGGGUGGAAUUCCACGUGUAGCAGUGAAAUGCGUAGAGAUGUGGAGGAACACCGAUGGCGAAGGCAGCCCCCUGGGCCAAUACUGACGCUCAUGCACGAAAGCGUGGGGAGCAAACAGGAUUAGAUACCCUGGUAGUCCACGCCCUAAACGAUGUCAACUAGGUGUUGGGUGGGUAAAACCAUUUAGUACCGGAGCUAACGCGUGAAGUUGACCGCCUGGGGAGUACGGCCGCAAGGUUA